rnacentral:tRNA from 1 species
AUUUAAAUAGUUUAGUUAAAAUGUUGAUUUGUGGUGUCAGAGAUGUAGAAUUCUACUUUAAAUU